rnacentral:rRNA from 1 species
AAAGACUUGACGGUACUUCACAACAACCUAGAGGAGCCUGUCCAAUAACCGAUACUCCACGAUUAACCCAACCCGCCCUAGCCAACCAGUCUAUAUACCGCCGUCGCCAGCUUACCUUGUGAAAGAGACAAAGUAAACAAAACAGACAUCCUCUAAUACGACAGGUCGAGGUGUAACUAAUGAGCGGGCAAAAGAUGGGCUACAUUUUCUAAUAACAGAAAACACGGACAAACUAUGAAACCAGAAACUGAAGAAGGAUUUAGUAGUACGUUAAGAACAAAAUACCUA